rnacentral:lncRNA from 1 species
CGCGAAUUUGCAUGAAAAAUGUGUGAGAAAAGCUAGCUCCGGUGACCUCAUCCGCACCUGCCAUUAACGUUCAAUUAGCGGCUGAAUAGUGGCUGCCGACGCGACGUGCAGAGAAUCCUGCCUGCCCCGCGCAGCUCGGCGGCUGGCGGGGCGCGGGAUCGGGAGGAGGGGCGCGGCGAGACUCAGGGCUCCGCCUGCGGCUCGGGGCUCCAACACCCAGGGCCUCCGCACCCCUAAUCUCAAAGGACCCCAGAACCCCAGAGCCCUGGAGCACUAGGCAGUUUGGGGCGAGUCGGAGCCUUGGAGUGCAGGCUCUCCGGGUCUGCCGGACCGGUGGUGGCGGGCGAGUCGUGUCCCGGCUCAGACAGGCUUCCUCGCCACCUUCCGGACAAAGUGUCAAGUACAAGUUCAAGUUCAGGGGUUGGCCCCAGGAGGAAGGGGGUGGGGGGAGCCAUCCCCAGCUGCCUUUGUUCUCCGGGAUAAGCGCUCUCACGUCCCCGUCCCGGGCGGGGCUCGGCAGAUACCCCCGCCCCGCCCCGCCGCGCCCCGCAGGAGCCACCUCCUCCCGCCCGCACGGCGCCUGUGCCUGGGUCCCGGCGACCCUCCUCAGGGCCACCGAAAGGUCUUGGGGCUUGGGGAGGGGGCGGGGGGGGCGGUCCCUGCCCGUGGGAGCCUCCCCGGCCCCGCAGUCCCAGCAGCAAACUGCGCUUGGUCGGACGGGAUGCCCGCGCAGAGUCAGUGAAAUUGACUUAUGAAUACGUGAUUUAAAAAAAAGAAGAAGAAGAAGAAGAAGAAGAUCGGUUUAAAACACGUUUGAGGUUUGCAUUUAUUUUGCUUUUGAUAUUCACUUCGAUGUAAGAAAGCUCUCAGGGAUUUCCUCUUUCCAUUCCCUAACACUGGAGUCUCCUUUGCAAGCAGGGACCACGAGGAAGGGCAGAAGGGCUCUGCCAGGUGAUCUAUGAAAAGAAAAGGAAAACAUCCAAAGAAACAUUGUCUUACAACAUUUUGUGAAAGCAGUAACAAAAGGGAGCCCUACACACACCAUACAGUCCAUCUGUCCCAGCAUGGUGUGGCCUGGAAGGGCUAGGUGCCUGGGGUCCUCUGACAAAACCUUAAUGUCCUUGGAGAAGCUGAUAUUGACCUCCCUAAUCUCUUUCAGCCCCAGAGAUCUGUCACCGACACUCUGGUUUAUAUGUACAUGUGUCUGUAUGUGUAAGUUUAUGUGUAUAAUUUUGAGACAAGGUUUCUCUAUGUAGCCUUAGCUGUCCUGGAAAUCAUUAUGUAGAUGAGCUAGCUUCAAACUCACAGAAAUCUCCCUGUUUCUUCCCAAGUGCUGGUAUUAAAGGCAUUCGUG